AUCCAGCUGACGAGUGCCAAAUAGGACGAAACGCGCGUCCAGGAU
rnacentral:hammerhead_ribozyme from 1 species